rnacentral:lncRNA from 1 species
AUGUGUGGAAGCGGCUCUGACACCGUUAAGAAACGGAGGAGUCAGAGUUUCGUCAUAUCUGGACGAUCUGCUCAUCUGCGCGCUGUCUCCGCAUCAAGCAGAGAGCGAUACACACACACUAGUGACGCAUCUGGAGAGAUUAGGUUUCAAGAUAAACCAAACGAAGAGUUGUCUAAUUCCUUCACAGGAAAUAGUCUACUUGGGUCUCAGGUUGAAUUCAGUGAGGUUUCGAGCGUUCCUUUCAGAAGAGCGCAUCAAAACAUUUCUCACCUGCCUCUCCCUCUUUCAACGAGGGAGUUUAGUCUCUUUCGGAAUGUGUCUUCGACUACUGGGUCUGAUGGCCUCAACAGUGUCAGUGGUUCCCCUGGGACUGCUGAGAAUGAGGGAUUUUCAGAACUGGACAGCGUCACAGGGCAUUCGCCCCAUGAGCCGUCUCAGCCGCAGAGUGCACGUCUCACCAGAAUGCAUGAGCGCUCUCUGUCACUGGAGAGCCCCCUGGUGACAACAGACUGCAUCUCUCACGGGCUGGGGGGCAGUGUUCGAGGGCAGAACAGUGAGGGGAGUUUGGUCUCCGGCACUGAGAGAGAAGCACAUAAAUUUUCUAGAACUAAUGACAGUGUUACUAGCUCUGAGACAUUUUGUGCAUUUUCUCAAGAAUCAUCAUGUAUUGGUCAGGACAGACAAUACAACGGUGAUAGCCUACAUAAACCGUCAGGGAGGAGUGCGUUCUCACAAGCUUCACUUGUUAGCGAAAGAACUGAUUAUGUGGAGCAGCAAGAACCUCCUGUCACUACGCGCGACGCAUGUUCCAGGAAUAAUGAACAGGGGAGCGGAUUUACUGUCCAGAGGGAAUCCUCUGUACGGGGAGUGGAGACUCCACCCCCAAGUUAUGCUCAUGGUGUGGCAGAGAUUCGGCCAGGCCGCCGUAGAUCUCUUCGCAUCGCGCGAAGACGCGCAAUGUCCCCUGUUCUUCUCUCUGGUGGGCAACGAUGCACCGUUGGGUGUGGAUGCUCUAGCCCACGAGUGGCCAGACGUAUUACUUUACGCUUUCCCUCCGUUGAGCCUGAUCGAGCCGACACUACGAAGGGUUCGGGAACGAAAGCAUGUAAUGAUUCUGAUCGCGCCAUACUGGCCGGGGAGACUUUGGGUUGCGGAGAUUGCGCAACUGCUCUACGACCAGCCAUGGCCGUUACCAGCGCGCAGGGAUCUCCUCUCACAAGCACGGGGGGAAAUAUUUCACCCCUCCCCUCAGAAACUAGCUCUCUGGGCCUGGCCCGUGAGAGGCUAAAUCUGAAUGCAGCUGGGUUACCUCCGAAAGUGAUUGAGACAAUUCAGAACGCGAGGGCUGCCUCAACGCGCUCUUUAUAUAAUCUCAAAUGGAGGGUGUUUGAGGGUUGGUGCGCAGAUAGGAACAUAGUUCCUUUCCUGUGUUCAGUUUCGGAUGUGCUGGUUUUUUUACAGGACCUUCUAGAUAAGGGCAGAGCCUUUUCUACGGUUAAGGUUUAUCUGUCUGCUAUCUCGGCAUGUCAUGUGGGUAUUAACUCGGGUACUAUUGGCCAGCACCCUCUCGUCUGUCGAUUUAUGAGAGGUGCACGUCGGUUACACCCAGUGUCGAAGCCACUGGUCCCGCCCUGGGACCUGUCCGUGGUUCUGAACGCGCUCUCAAAAGCCCCUUUUGAGCCCAUUGAUAAAAUUGCCUUGAAGCUACUAGCUCUAAAGACGGCUCUGUUACUCGCUCUCACUACAGCAAAAAGGGUGAGUGAACUACAUGCUUUAUCAGUUCACUCCUCAUGUAUGAUGUUCGCUCCGGGUGUCCAAAAAGUCACUUUUAGAACUAACCCGGCGUUCGUACCCAAAGUGUUUGAUCACGCUGGUGCAGUUCAAUCAGUGGACCUGCUAGCUUUUCAUCCACCACCCUUUGCAUCCCCAGAGGAGGAGAGGUUACACAGUUUAUGUCCUGUUCGUACUCUGCAUAUGUAUGUUCAGAGAACACAUACAAUUCGUAAGAGCAAUCAACUGUUUGUCUCUUGGGCUGACUCUUACAGAGGAAGACCUAUCUCCCGUCAACACCUGUCUCAUUGGGUGGUGGAGGCUAUCGUAUUAUGUUACAAUAAUUCGAAUUUGGAGCCCCCAAAAGGACUACGAGCACACUCUACUAGAGGCAUGGCUACUUCCUGGGCCCUGUUUAGAGGCAUCUCUAUUCAGGAAAUUUGCGCGGCAGCCAGCUGGUCUUCUCCGCACACAUUUGCUCGUUUCUAUAGACUGGAUGUGACAGAGCCCUCUCUGGCCCAUUCUGUUCUGGGAGUGAGUAGUCAGGUGGUAUAA